rnacentral:lncRNA from 7 species
AAAACUCGAUUCGAAUCGUCUGCUUCUCGCAGCUAAUGAGACUGCUUGAUCCAUUGUACUGCAUUGAGUAAUAAGUGGAAAUGAGGUGACUGGCAAAAGAUGUUGAUUGAUAAAAUGUUUGAUACCAUGUAUGAAUAGCUAGGUACUCAUCUAGUUAAAAAGGAUCAUACUAAAACUUGAAAAGCUAAAACUUGAUUUUAGACUCAGCUAGUGCUUUUGGCAAACCAAACCCCUCAGCCAAACAGCUGCAUGUCUAGAGGUAGAGGAGUAGACUCCUCACACCGGGUAAGUCUAGCUGAGUAUUAGUAUACUCAGCCUUGCUUGUGGCAUAAUUUUUGCAGGUACUCCUUAGGAUGAUUGGUUGCUGGUGUGACUUGGCCUUCAUCCCUGCCACCGGGAUAGACGGUCGCGUGGGUUACUGCUUCCGCAGGAGAGGACCAGGAGGAGUAGCGUGGCCACGCUUCGCCAUGUUACUCGGUUUUCUCCGUUAGUUAUUUCCGCUGCAUUAAAAUUUAUGGUUAUUAUUUUUGAAACUCCGAUAAUGUAAUCACUAAUGAUACUUAUUAAAUUUGUGGUAUUAUG